AUGAUACGCCGCGACAGAAACCGUUCGGUCUGCACCGCAAGACGCAGACCUGUCAGUAUGCGCGCGCUGACCGAUUUUUGCCGCGCCAGCGGAUGAUCGUCCCGGACCACGAGCAUCAGCCGCUCGGAGAACAGGGGCUUCGNNGUGUGCCCCGGCGUCACGAACGAAAGCCCCAGAUGCAGCGCGCCGCUCGCAACCUGCGCCGCGAUGUCCGGCGCGGGCAAA
rnacentral:misc_RNA from 1 species